AGAGUAUCAAUUGGAGGGCAAGUCUGGUGCCAGCAGCCGCGGUAAUUCCAGCUCCAAUAGCGUAUAUUAAAAUUGUUGCAGUUAAAAAGCUCGUAGUUGAAUUUCUGCUGCAUUACAUAUCUCUUGUUUGAGUUUGUUUUUGUGGCUUAUUUCGGUUUGAUUUUUUCUUUCCGGAUGAUUACUUUGAGAAAAUUAGAGUGCUCAAAGCAGGCUUUUGCCUUGAAUAGUUUAGCAUGGAAUAAUAAAGUAGGACUUUGGUUCUAUUUUGUUGGUUUUAGGUACCAAAGUAAUGGUUAAUAGGAACAGUUGGGGGCAUUCGUAUUUAACUGUCAGAGGUGAAAUUCUUAGAUUUGUUAAAGACGAACUACUGCGAAAGCAUUUGCCAAGGAUGUUUUCAUUAAUCAAGAACGAAAGUUAGGGGAUCGAAGACGAUCAGAUACCGUCGUAGUCCUA
rnacentral:rRNA from 1 species